rnacentral:lncRNA from 1 species
GGAAAAUGAAAAACAAUGUUGAUCUAAAAGAGUAUUUAUUGAGUCUACUUUUCUACAACAGGGACGACAACAACGACAAUGAGCACAACCACACUGAUGACGACAACAACAACAAUGAACACAACCACACCGAUGACGACAACAACAACAAUGAACACAACAACACCGAUGACAACAACCACACCAAUGACAACAACAACAACAAUGAACACAACCACACCGAUGACGACAACAACAACAAUGAACACAACCACACCGAUGACGACAACAACAACAAUGAACACAACCACACCGAUGACGACAACAACAACAAUGAACACAACCACACCGAUGACGACAACAACAACAAUGAACACAACCACACCAAUGACGACAACAACAACAAUGAACACAACACCGGUGACAACAACUACACUGAUGACGACAACUACAACAACAACAACAACGCCAAUUACAGAACCGCCCAUAUUAGAAGAGAGGAACCUUUCGUUUAGCAUGGACAUAGAUUUCCAAGAGUCAUACAAUAACCCAGAGAGUAGUGUUUACAAAGACACUAUUGAUGCUGUAAGUCUGGAUGUCUCACUUUGUUUUCACACUGUUAUGUCACACAGCACACACACAGUCGAUGCAAUGAGUUUGCCAUAUUUGGUCUUGUUUCCUCAAACAGAUUCAGAAUCAAUCGAAGGUGCACAUCUCGGUUCCAACCACGGCAAGUUUAAUCGGGUUCAGGUGAGUCAGAAUUUUCUUUUGAUUGUACUCACAUUUGUUAUUUUGAUAUUUAAACUUAGUAUCUGCACAAUAGAGUGAUAGCAAAUAUGUGUUUGUCUCAUAUUUUGAGGGUGUGGUCGCUACAUUGAAAAUCAGAAUUAGUUGCAUUAUUUUGCUGCUUGUGUCGCUGGGAGAUGACGGUGUUGGUCCGUCAGUAAGUCAACAACAACAGUUUAGCAAAGACAUUCAGAGUUCCCAGGCAAUGAAUCCUGU